rnacentral:sRNA from 1 species
UUAUGACUCUUUGGAGUACAAAUGUUCACUAUUUUUCUGUGCUUUUUUUGUAUAGGAUAUAGCAGAUCCAUUCUUUGCUUAUUGUAAGCAACAUGCAGAUAGAUUAGACAGAAAGUGGAAGAGAAAAAACUACUUGGCUCUACAGUCCUAUUGUAAAAUGUCUUUGCAAGAGAGAGAGAAGCAACUAUCACCAGAAGCACAGGCAAGGAUCAAUGCCCGGCUUCAGCAGUAUCGUGCCAAAGCAGAACUAGCUCGAUCUACCAGACCCCAGGCCUGGGUUCCAAGGGAAAAAUUGCCCAGACCACUCACCAGCAGUGCUUCAGCUAUUCGUAAACUUAUGCGGAAAGCAGAACUCAUGGGGAUCAGUACAGAUAUCUUUCCAGUGGACAAUUCAGAUACUAGUUCUAGUGUGGAUGGAAGGAGAAAACAUAAGCAACCAGCUCUCACUGCAGAUUUUGUGAAUUAUUAUUUUGGUCAGUAUAGACACUGAUACAUGCACAUUUUCACUGAGAACAAUUUGUUAAUGAAAAUGUUUGAUAUUCUGUUAAUUUUUAGAAAUUUAUUAGCCAUGCUGCAUAUAUCAUAGAGGGAUGUUUAUUUUCCUAAUAUGUUGUGGGU